rnacentral:rRNA from 1 species
GUCUGCAACUCGACUCCAUGAAGCUGGAUUCGCUAGUAAUCGCGCAUCAGCCAUGGCGCGGUGAAUACGUUCCCGGGCCUUGUACACACCGCCCGUCAAGCCAUGGAAGCCGGGGGUGCCUGAAGUGCGUGACCGCAAGGAGCGCCCCAAGGUAAAACCGGUGACUGGGGCUAAGUCGUAACAAGGUAAC